UACGUAGGGGGCUAGCGUUGUCCGGAAUCAUUGGGCGUAAAGCGCGCGUAGGCGGCCCAGUAAGUCCGUUGUAAAAGUCAAAGGCUCAACCUUUGAAAGCCGAUGGAUACUGCUGGGCUAGAGUCCGGAAGAGGCGAGUGGAAUUCCCAGUGUAGCGGUGAAAUGCGUAGAUAUUGGGAGGAACACCAGUGGCGAAGGCGGCUCACUGGACCGGUACUGACGCUGAGGCGCGAAAGCGUGGGGAGCAAACGGG
rnacentral:rRNA from 1 species